UACGAAGGGGACUAGCGUUGUUCGGAAUUACUGGGCGUAAAGCGCGCGUAGGCGGAUCGCUAAGUCAGGGGUGAAAUCCCAGGGCUCAACCCUGGAACUGCCUUUGAUACUGACGAUCUGGAGAUCGGGAGAGGUUGGUGGAAUUCCGAGUGUAGAGGUGAAAUUCGUAGAUAUUCGCAAGAACACCAGUGGCGAAGGCGGCUCGACCUGGCCCGAUACUGACGCUGAGGUGCGAAAGCGUGGGGAGCAAACAGG
rnacentral:rRNA from 1 species